rnacentral:rRNA from 1 species
AUUGAACGCUGGCGGCAGGCCUAACACAUGCAAGUCGAGCGAGCGGCGGACGGGUGAGUAAUGUAUGGGGAUCUGCCCGAUUGAGGGGGAUAACUACUGGAAACGGUGGCUAAUACCGCAUACUAUCGGAUGCACCCAUAUGGGCUUAGCUAGUAGGUGGGGUAAAGGCUCACCUAGGCGACGAUCCCUAGCUGGUCUGAGAGGAUGAGCAGCAAGACUGGGACUGAGACACGGCCCAGACUCCUACGGGAGGGAGCAGUGGGGAAUAGUGCAGAAUGGGUGCAAGCCUGAUGCAGCCAUGCCGCGUGUAUGAAGAAGGCCUUAGGGUUGUAAAGUACUUUCAGCGGGGAGGCGUUACCCGCAGAAGAAGCACCGGCUAACUCCGUGCCAGCAGCCGCGGUAAUAC